rnacentral:rRNA from 1 species
CAGUCGCCGCGGUAAUACGGAGGGUGCAAGCGUUAAUCGGAAUUACUGGGCGUAAAGCGUGCGUAGGCGGUUCGUUAAGUCUGUUGUGAAAGCCCCGGGCUCAACCUGGGAAUGGCAAUGGAUACUGGCAAGCUAGAGUGUGUCAGAGGAUGGUGGAAUUCCCGGUGUAGCGGUGAAAUGCGUAAAGAUCGGGAGGAACAUCAGUGGCGAAGGCGGCCAUCUGGGACAACACUGACGCUGAGGCACGAAAGCGUGGGGAGCAAACAGGAUUAGAUACCCCAGUAGUCCCUGUCUCUUAUAC